AUGAAACUGAAUCUGAGGAAAAGAAGAAAGCUGAAAACACACUGAGGAUUAUGGGAGAGGGGCAAGUGCAUGAAGCUUCUCAAUGACAUACAGACACUCUAAAAGCUCAAGAGAUCAAUUAUUCAACUUCAAGAACUGAAAUUUGAACACAGAUUUUGAGCUUCCAAAUCAGGAGAAAAAGAAGUGUUCUAUAAGAAGUUUGGACAAGACUCUGCAAGAAGUUAAGAGCAGGUCCUUAAAGGCAACUGUGAAUUAACGGAGACUAGUUUUGAGAAAAUCAGUCCUGAUUUGUUUCUCCUGGAGUUUUCUUCUUUAUGUGAUCCUUCAUAAAAGCUGCUAAUAUGGGAAAGAUUGAAAUCAGCAAGUUUCUGGCUGUAAGCUAAAAGAGGCUCUUGAAUCAUAUUUCCGCCUGCUUAGCAAAUUUCUCUUGCGACAAUUGGAUGUUAUUUGGGGUUCCAUACUAGCAGGAAGAAGUACAAGCAAAGCUAAGUCAUUUUGAGAAUAAAUAUUAUCUCUCUAUAUAUUUGUAAAUGUUAUUUUCUUUUUUUUUGAGGUUUAUGAUUGAUCCUUGGCAUGUGUCCCCUUGUGUAUUGCUCUACUAAAAA